AUGUGUGAGGUAGACGCAUCUUUAGGCCCAGUUCUAGAGAUUGACAUGGAUACCAUAACUCAUGAGAAAAUAAGAGCUAAGGUGGGAGUGAGAGACUUUGAAAAAAUCUCAAGCUACAUUGAGACCACUGACAAAGACCUGAACAUAUACAGAGUUCUACCAAGCUUGGAGAAGGUAGUUGAGAUAGCCUGGUAUGGCGAAUACAAGAGGCAACAUCUGGAAGAAACUGGAAUGGAAUGUGUGGGUGGUGAAAUAAGGAACAGACAGAAAAAUUCCAAUAAUACAGGGGAAAACGACAGAGAUAUCGUGACAUUAGGCAAUCUAAACUUGGUGCAGUUUGAAGAAAUAAAAAAAAGUGAUGCAAUUCUUUUGGCUCAACAAGAACAAGACACACACACACACACACACACACAGAGAGAGAGAGAGAGAGAUGCAAGGAAAAGGUGGAAGCAGACUUGGAAAUGGUCAUGA
rnacentral:rRNA from 1 species